rnacentral:lncRNA from 12 species
UGGCUCUUUGAAAUCCCGGGGUCACCAGAGCCACACGGGAUCCGGUGGGCCCUGGGAGCUGUCACCCAAGGCACAGCUGCCCCGCCAGGCCGCCCCGACGCCACGCCGGCCUUUGCCAUCAGCGGUCCUGCUGAGGGAUCGGGGGGAGCAGAAGAGCGUCAGCCCCCCUGGGAGCCGCGAUUCCCCUUUCCCUCCCCGCGUGGGGGUGAGAGGGGCGGAUGGGCUUCACCGUGGCCUUGCUCCCCAAGGCCACCCCCUGGGCCCGGGCUGCCCUCCGCAGACCUCGCCGCCCGGAGGCCAGGCCGUGGCGGUCCUGUCGCCUCCUGUGUCCCCCCGCUGGCCUCUGCCUGUGUAGGCCGAGGCGUUGGCCACAUCCCGGCCUUUCAGCCCGUAGCUCUUGGGUGGUUUUCCCCGCACGGGUGUCUUCGUCUGCCCGGUCGCCUGGCCUGUUGCACGGCCCUGCAGCUGCCCUGGUCCUUCCGGACCCACGGCCUCCUGCCCGCCCGCUGUCCCGCGCCACGCGUGCACUUCCCUCCCCUUGACGGCGGCGGCUGCUGCUCCAACUGGGCCGUCCCAAGCUCUGCCACUUGUCCAGCGCUUGCCCUGGCACGUGCUCUGCCAUGGACACCAUCCCCGGGCAGGGCCCCGCGACCCCCACGGCCUCACGUUCCCAUCCCUGCGGUUCACGGUGGGACACCAGUCCUGUGCCCGCCCAGAGACACGGGCCUGGUACCUGUGCUGUGCUGGCCCAGGCCCAGCUGCCGUGCCAGCCGCGGUGGGCCGCCUGGGGCCCCGGGAGGAGAGGCCACCCCAGGUCUGCGUGUCCAGGCUUACCCAGCGGGCCGUGGGCUGCGCACGCUGUCACGCCGAUGCGUGGGAGGACCCCUGCGCGGCCGCCCCUCGGCACGCUGCAGCAGCGACGCGCCAGCUCCCUCCAGCUGGCCAGCCCGCCGCGCCAGGCCCCGUACCCGUCCCCGGCCCGCUAGCCAAGCCGUGCUAGGCGCUCGCAUUUUCAUGUACCCUCGAGAGAAUGAUUAAAAAGUAAUUAACCUACCUUUAGCCUGAUUGUCCUAAUAAAUUAGCCACAUGAAUCA